GACGAACGCUGGCGGCGUGCUUAACACAUGCAAGUCGAGCGGUAAGGCCCGUUUCGGGGUACACGAGCGGCGAACGGGUGAGUAACACGUGGGUGACCUGCCCUCAGCUCUGGGAUAAGCCGUGGGAAACCGGGUCUAAUACUGGAUAUGACUCCAUGACGCAUGUUGGUGGGGUGGAAAGCCUUGUGCGGCUGAGGAUGGGCCCGCGGCCUAUCAGCUUGUUGGUGGGGUGANGGCCUACCAAGGCGACGACGGGUAGCCGGCCUGAGAGGGCGACCGGCCACACUGGGACUGAGACACGGCCCAGACU
rnacentral:rRNA from 1 species